ACGAACGCUGGCGGCGUGCCUAAUCCAUGCAAGUUGAGCGCUGAAGGUUGGUACUUGUACCAACUGGAUGAGCAGCGAACGGGUGAGUAACGCGUGGGGAAUCUGCCUUUGAGCGGGGGACAACAUUUGGAAACGAAUGCUAAUACCGCAUAAAAACUUUAAACACAAGUUUUAAGUUUGAAAGAUGCAAUUGCAUCACUCAAAGAUGAUCCCGCGUUGUAUUAGCUAGUUGGUGAGGUAAAGGCUCACCAAGGCGAUGAUACAUAGCCGACCUGAGAGGGUGGUCGGCCACAUUGGGACUGAGACACGGCCCAAACUCCUACGGGAGGCAGCAGUAGGGAAUCUUCGGCAAUGGACGAAAGUCUGACCGAGCAACGCCGCGUGAGUGAAGAAGGUUUUCGGAUCGUAAAACUCUGUUGGUAGAGAAGAACGUUGGUGAGAGUGGAAAGCUCAUCAAGUGACGGUAACUACCCAGAAAGGGACGGCUAACUACGUG
rnacentral:rRNA from 1 species